CGGACGGGUGAGUAAUGUCUGGGAAACUGCCUGAUGGAGGGGGGUAACUACUGGAAACGGUAGCUAAUACCGCAUAACGUCGCAAGACCAAAGAGGGGGACCUUAGGGCCUCUUGCCAUCGGAUGUGCCCAGAUGGGAUUAGCUAGUAGGUGGGGUAACGGCUCACCUAGGCGACGAUCCCUAGCUGGUCUGAGAGGAUGACCAGCCACACUGGAACUGAGACGCGGUCCAG
rnacentral:rRNA from 1 species